AUGGUGGACGGUAACACCAUCACCAAGCCACCGUGGCCGGAACACUGUCACUGGCCACCGCAAGCCACUGACCAAGCCACACCUCUCUGUCUUCUCUCCGUGGGUCUCUCAAGUCCGGCUCUCUCCUCUACCUCAUGGGUCUCUCAAGUAUGGUGUGGGUUGUGGCUCUUUCAAGCCGGCGUGGUUCGUGGGUCUCUGUGACUUGCUCUCGUCUCUCACUCUCUCUCUUUGUGCCGGUGGUUGGGCCUCCACGCCGGUAAGAAGCAAAGAUCGUGGGCUGCGAUCCAGGCCGUGAGUCUGUGUUUUAUGAUUUUGUGAUUCUGGGUUUAAAUUGUGUAUGAUUUUGUGAUUUUGGGUUUUAAUUUUAUGAUUCCUAAUACUAGUAGAACUUGGAUAAACGACCUAUAAGUAGAGUUACAGAGCAGAUUUAACAAAACAAAUAUAGAAGAACCGAAGGAAGCCUUUCUCUAUUUCUUCAACGCCGACCCGGUAUGUCUGAAUUCAGUUCUUUUCUUUUUCCACGCUUUGCUAUGUCUAAAUUCUUUUCUUUUUCUUCAGUAUUAUUGUUUUUCUGUUAGUUUAAUUUCUCUAAAAACAAACAUGUCACUUUGGUUCUACAACUAUAGACACACACACAGCUCUACUGUCCUAUUUUUGAACUCUUUUUGGUUUUUCAAAAAAACCAUGUUUGCAAUUUUUUGUUUUGUUUUUUGCAGAACAUUGUGUAUGCAAAAAUUCAAUCUUUCCCUAAAAAAAUACUAUGUAAAAAUAAAAACUUGAUGCUAAAUAUUGCAUUUUACUAGUGUUAUGUACAAGUGUCUUGAUUUGAUAAUUAAGAGAAGUCCCUGUUGGAGAAUGUUCUAAUGGUUACUUUACUUUAGUGAAACUUUUUUUUUGGAAAUGGGAAUGAAUUGGCAUUAAACCAAAACUUUAGUGAAACUAACAUUAAAGUAAUGCCUUUUCUUAAUAAUUUUUUUCAAUUGGAGAUGGGUUUUUAAUUAUAUUUGAAGAUGCAAACCUAAUCGUAAUCUUAAUUAUAUUAAUGUAUUUCUCUUUCAGUUGUAGACAUCCUUAACUUUUCUUUUUUCUUUUUCUUUUUUUCUGAAUUCCAGAUUACCAAUCUAUUGAGAUGUCAAAGUGGGCUGAUCUUCCCGGCGAUGUCUUCUUCCAAAUAGUGUGUCGACUAUUUUCAGAUGAUAUCAUCAUCUCCAGUGCUGUGUGCAAGUCAUGGCACUCACUCCUUAAUUCAGUGGGGAAACUCCCAUUACCUCCUAGUUGUCCUUGGCUUAUGCUUGCAGAGGAAAAUGAACAAAGUGAAAAAAGCAAUAACGAAGAAAGUAGGACUCGUGGCUUCUUCAACUUAAGAAAUGAUAAACUUCACCAUUUCAAGCUGCCUGAGGUUGCUGGAAGACGAUGCUUUGGAGCAUCUUUUGGAUGGUUGCUCACUAUAGGAACCGAUUUACAGAUCAACCUGUUGCAUCUGUUCUCUAAAUACCUAUUAUGUCUUCCACCCAUAGCUACCUUUCGCUGUCAGUAUGAAUUCAAAGUCACGCCUGAACGUCUUCGUAGAAUGUUUCUUAAAAAGGUUGUUUUGUCAAGGAGUCCUUGGAACCCAGCAACUGGUGAAUGCGAUUGUGAUUGCAUAGUCAUGGUAAUCUAUGGUGAAUAUCAGCAAUUGGCCUUCACUAGACCAGGAUAUAAAGCUUGGGUGGAUAUAACAAAUACUCGAAAACGCUAUGCUGACAUUGCAUUCUACCAGGGUAAGUUUUAUGCUGUACAUUUUGAUGGUACACUUGUUGUUUGUCGCAUUGAUGAUAACAAAAAGCUCAAGGCUAAAGCUGUUGCACCUCCUCCAGAAGGAAUCAAUUUGAAAAUCCAAAUUCAUAUCCAAAAGUAUAUUGUUGAAUCAUCAGGAGACCUUUUGUUUGUUACACGCUUUCGGGGAGGUCAAUUUUAUUCUAGGUUAAAUGACUUUUCUUAUGAAGAGUACUCUGACUCAGACUCUGAUUACAGUGAAAGUGAAUCCAGUGAUGAAGACUCUGAAGAUGAUUUUGAGAAUGAGGACUUUGAGAAUGUUGUUGAGGAUGAGGACUCUGAGAAUGCUGUUGAGGAUGAGGACUUUAAAGAUGAAUCUGAUGAAGAAGGAUUUGAUAAAAAUGAUAACCCUUAUGUGACAAUUGGGUUCACAGUUCAAAAAUUAAAAAGAUGUACUCAAGAGGGAAGUAUAUUUAAAUACAAAUGGGUGAAGGUUGAUAGCUUGGGUGAUCAAGCAUUGUUUGUGGGUAACAGUUCAUCAUUGUCAUUGACUGCAUCGAGCCUCAAUGGAAUCAAACCUAAUUGUAUCUAUUUUACUGAUGACGAUUUAACCCAUUUUAAUUGUACCCGUAAUGGUGGAGGGUUCGACAUGGGAGUGUACAGAAUGGAAGAUGCCAGAAUUAUGCCACAUUACUCAGGCCAAUCCCUUUCCUUUUUUUGUUCCCCACUUUGGUACAUGUGAAGUGUAUCAAAUAAGUUAGUGAGUGUGUGCAAAAUUGUUUGUUUUAAGAUGUGUGUAUGUAGUUUGAAGCUUUGAAGUUAUGCUACAAUAAAGGACCCACAUUAGUUUCUCAAUAUUUUAUUUUAUCUAUUCAAUAAAAUGCACUCUACAUGUUAAUUGCUACAAUCUAUAGGUUCUCUUCAUUUUUAUGUUUUUAGUGAAUUAUUUUCAUUGCAAUGAAAUGAAGGAUGAUAGGGCAAGUCAAUUUGAAUUUUGCCUAUUGGUGCAAAAGGCAUUAAUUAUCAUUUUAAUUAUUUAAGUAAAAAAUUGUUUUUAUUGGGAUAAAUUCUGCUGGGCUUGGUAUAAAUCUUAACAAAAUUACGAAUCCUUAUAACUGGAUGGUAUAUUGCAGUGCCAGUAUUUGGAUACGCAAGACAACUGGAUGGUAUAUUGCAGGGCCAAUAUAUGGAUACGGUCCUUGAGCAUCCCAAAUUGAGAACGUAAGAAACGCAGCCCUCUCUCCCUCUUCAACGACCCAGGUUCUGCCUUCAACAAAGUCCUCUUAUACGUGGUUAAGUUUCUGUCACCAGCAAAAUUCAAUUCUUUCCCUUAGCUUAAUUAAUUUCUUAUAAAUCAACCAACCCUGGUGGUUCUGUUUAGUGGAUACAUACAUACACAAAAAAUUGCUCUGAUAUUUUGUGUCUCUAGACUAGAACAAUAUUAGCUUCUAUGCAAACUUUAUUGAUCUUUUUAUUGUUUUCAUCUAUACUUUGAACGUUACUAUACUCUUGUUCUUAUUUAUUUUAAUUUAUCGAAAAAAUAUAUUCUUUUUUGUGAAAAGCAUUAUGAAUAGUGCUCUUUUUAGUUUAAUAUAUAGUGUGAUAUUGUAAUAGAUUUUUUUUUUUUUUUUUUUUUUUUUUUAAGUAGUCAAUUUUAGCCACAAGAAGAGGGGAAGGGGAGGUCAUUUUUAUUCUAGGAUAAAUAAGUACUAAGAAGAGUACUCCGACCGCAAGGAAAAUGAAUCCAAUGAUGGAGACUAUGAAGUUGAUUUUGAGGGUGAAGUCUCUAAAGAUAAUUCUGAAGAUGAUGUUGAGGGUGAGGAGACUAAAGAUCAAUAUGAUAAAAAAGGAGUCAAUGAUAAUUAUAACCCUAGUGACAUUUAGGUUCACAGUUCUAAAAUUAGAAUGAUGUACUCAAGAGGGAAGUGAAUUUAAAUACAAAUGGUUGAAGGUUGAUAGUAUGGGUGAUCGAGCAUUGUUUGUGGGUGACAGUUCAUCAUUUUCAUUGACUGCAUAGAGCAUCAAUUGGAAUAUAUCUAGUUGUAUCUAUUUUACAUAAGGCAUUUUAUACCUUUGUGAUUGGAGGGUUUGACAUGGGCAGUGCAUAUAAUUGACUCUAUCAAAUAAGCUAGUGAAUGUGUGCAAAAUUGUUUUUCUUAGGAUGUGCUUAUGUAGUUGUGGAGCUAAGAAGUUAUGAUUUAGUUAAGGACCUGCCUCAAUUUCUAAAUCUAUCAUUUUACACUUCUAUUGAAUCCAAAAUUUUGUUUGUAUAUAAUUAUUUUUCAGCCUUGUACAGCAUAAAAAAACUUAUUAAGAUGUCUAAGUGGGCUGAUCUUCCACAUGAUGUCCCCUCUAAAAUAAUGUGUCGAAAAUCUUUCCUUGAUGAUAUAUCAUCAUCAAAAAAAGAUAGCCAUUGUUGGAGCUGUCUGUAAGUCAUGAGUAUCAAGUGUUUAUUCAUUGGAAAACCUUCAUUACCUCAUAGCUGUCCUUGGCUUAUGCUUGGAGAAGAAAAUGAACAAAGCAAUAAAGUCAGUCACGUUGCCUUCACAACUUAUUAAAUACUAAAUUUUAUGUCUUCAACUUUCCUUAGGUUGUUGGAAGUAAAUGCUUUGGAAAUCUUUUAUACGGUUGAUCAGUAUACAAAUUGAUUACAGAUUAAUCUCCUUCGUCGGUUAUCUAAACACCUAAGAAGUCUUUCACCUCAACCUACCUUUUGUCAUCAAUACAAUUACAAACUUGAGCUUGAAGUUGUCUGUGAUAUCUCCGUUCAGAUGGUUGUUCUGUCAAGGAGUUGAUGACAGUCUCCCACCUAAACAUAACUUUUGCUGGCAAUAUGAUUACUCAUGAAUAUGACCAUGAUUGUGUAAUCUUUGCAAUCCGUGGGGAUUUUUAGAAUAUUGUCCUUCACUAGACCAGGACAAGAUAUAAAGUUGAAUUGAUAUUAAAAAUUGUCCUCAAUGUAAUGAUGACAUGUUGUUCUAGAAGGGAAAAUUUAAUGCUGUAGACCAGGAGAUUUUUUUUGUUUUUUUUUUUUUCUCAAAAACAAGGAGGUCAUUGUUAUUCAGUAAGAGAUAGCUUUGUAAAGGACUCUGACCAUGAAGAAAAUGAAUCCAAUGAUGAAGACAUUGAAGAUGAUUUUGAGGAUGAGGAAACUAAAGAUGAAUUUGAUAAAGAAGGCAUCAAGGAUAACUCCUAUGUGACAUUUAGGUUCACAGUUCUAAAAUUAGAACGGUGUACUCCAGAGGGAAGCAAAUUUAAAUACAAGUGGGUGAAGCAUUGUUUGUAGGUGACAAUUCAUUAGUUUUUUUGUCUUUGUAAAGCUUCAAUGGAUGCAAAGCUAACUGUAUCAAUUUUAUAGAGGAGUAAUCAAAUUUAAUUAAGCUUCCUUAAAUGGUGGAGGGUACAACCUGGUUGGAUUCAGCAUGGACGAUGGGACAAUUAAGCACCAUUGUCCAAGCCCUUUCUUACUUUUCUAUCCCACACUGGUACUGUUAAUUUACAUCUGCGCAAUGCAUAUGUUUGUUUAAAUUAAAAAAGCUAGUGAAUGUGAGAAAAAAACCUGCCUUAGUUUCUGUUAAUCCAUCUAUUGAAUAAUUGAAGUUUAUGUGUUUUCAUGAUAUGAUGCCGCCCAUAAAUUUUACAUUGAUAAGAUGAAACGGAGCAUGUCAACCUAACCUUGGUCUGUUGAAAUAUAGAGCAUUACUCCUUAGUCCGUUCUUUUGUAAUUUGUCAUGAUACUGCCUUUCUUUGAUUGAAGUCCUAAUUCAUAAUCUAUGUUUUUUUUUUUUUCUUUAUAUCAAUUAGAGACCUUGCUGAUAAUUGAUCGCCCAUGUUAGUUAGAAUGAUUUAUUUGAAAGCAAUGCAAACUUAGUUCAAUGGUAUUGAAAAUGGCAAAAUGCCUAAGCAUUGGAGCUGACUUUUGGAGUAUUUUUCUUUAAUUGAUGUGUAGUACAUAGCAAAAAGGCAAUAAUUCAUGCUCCACAGGCAGAAUUACCUAUUCUGUUCUAUCUGUGAGAUGUACGUUUCUGAAAAAUUAGAAAAUGUAAAAAAAAAAAAAAAAUUAAAAAAUUAAAAAAAACCUUCAGAAUUCAGAUGCCUUUUUUUAGUGGUGUCCUAAACCAAAGUCAGCCCAUAUUGGGCAUCAGAAUUUAUAUCCAUAUGAGGUUGCAAUUCAGGUUAAUUUCAUGUACAUUACUUGUGGAUCGAAGGCUUGAUUCCAUCAACUGUGAUACUCUUCUUUUGGCUGCAGUUUACCGGUUUCACUAAUAAAAAGGCCUCAAUUUUGGAUGGCCAAGUGACACUAGUAGUUCUCUUGAAAUGGCUUUAGACCUUGCAACACUUAGGUAUUUUAUUUAUCAGUUCUUUAGUUUCUACAAACUUGUCAUUACAUUGAUUAGAAUGUGCUGAAGAUAACAGGAAAGACAAUAACUUUUUCUUCUUGUCAUUAUAGCUUUCCAUUUGUGAAUUGUAGAGCCCGCGCUCAUAUGCAUUGGUCGUAAUGUUAUAUUUGUGAUUCUAGGACUUUGAGAGUGCAUAUUCCACAUAUGACAUAUCAAAUAUAUGAGAAAGGCUUUCAAUAUUAUACGUAGAGCACCAAAUAAUUUUAUUGUGAAAAAACAACGGUUGAUUAGUGGCUAGUAACAUUAUCGCUUUUCCAAAUAAGGAAUCACUGAAGCAUUUUUUCCCCUUUCCAUGUACGUUAGAAUUUGUUUAGUGUUUACUAAGAAAUCACUUUAUCUUAAGUUCAUAUGUGAAAAGGAAAAAAGCCUCAUUUAAGGACAUGCUUCAUCUUGAUUCACCAUUGUAAGUAUUGAAGAAAAGACAAAAUGUGUAUAUGUAGAUUAGUUGAAAGUGUCCUUGUUGGACUUUCAUUAUUCACCAGUUCUGUUUGUAUAUGCCAUAGAUGAUCCAAAGAAACAGACCACUUGCUCUUAUUGGAGCUAGGGAGAGACUUUGGUUAUUUAAAGAAAUUUAUUGGAUGAAGAAUCUUUUGUAGUUUAUGGAUGUGUAGGCAUAUUUUAUACAGCAUGCCCUGUUUCUCUUGCAGUCAGUGACCCACAGAUUCAUCCUAUUACAUUUUUGUCACCUUUAGGCAAAGUCAUCCAAUCUAUAUAUUGCUCCAAUUUUUCUGCAAAUAUGGUGAAUUUACUCUCUUAAUUAUUUUUGUUUGGUUGGUAUUCCUUGUUACAUUUGUCAAUUUACAACAACUUAGAAGAGCUCAUGCAUGAUUACUUAAUUUGGCAAUCUGUAAUUCUACCUUUGUGGAUGUGCUUGGCCAACGAUUGAAAGGUAUGUUGAUUAUAUUGAAGCAAUAGAGUUUGGGUAUAGAAAGUGAAUACCCAAAUUGAGAAACUAAACUUGAUUUUGGAGAAAAGGAUUGCCAAGCCUUAAUCCAAAGUAGUUCUAAAAAAUGCAAAGAAAAGAUUUUAUUGCUAAAUUUCAUUCCACUUUUUCCCAUGUUUCAGGGAAAUUUGAUUGAUCCAGCAGUCAAGGGAACACUUAAAACACUUUUGGAUCAUGUCAAAAUUUCCCUCUAUCAAGAGACUGAUUGUAAUAUCUUCAAUCUCUGCAAUCAUGUGCAAUGUAAAAUAUGUUAUCCUUGAUGUGUAGUGGAUAAGACUUGGUUUUCUGAUCCAGUUGCUUGUGAGGAAUUGGUAUGUAUAUGUUCUACUCCCUGAAUCCUUAUUCUCUUCUUUUGUGAUUAUUUUGUAUAGUAAUCUUAUAUGCCGUUGACAUUAGGAUACUGCUUAAUAGAAAUCUAAGUUAAUGAUGAUUUUACAAUAAGCUUGAGAGAAUAUUCUCUUUUUACUUUAUUUUUAAUGUAUUACUUGUUUCUGAUAUAGCAUUACAGAAUAGCAGCACAUGGUUUUUUGCCAUCAUUUUUCCUAUGUCCAAAUUGUUUUUGUAUUUGCCUUGCUUUCUCAUGAAUAUAUUCAUGUUCAAAAAUUCUGGAGGUCUUUGUAGUCUGUCUUGCAACAUACUGUACUAAAAAUAAGACCUUUUUUAAUUUAAUUAUUCUAACUUAGUUUCCACCCUUUCUUCUACACUAGAAGAAAAUUUUUAUUUUAAUGUUUCUUUGGAGUGUUAUGAUUUAAGGGCAUUAUGGAUCAUUUAGUAUUCUAUCACAUGAUGCAAUAUGCACAUUGAUAAAAAUUAUAAUUUAGCCACUUAAAUAGGAUUCCUUCAUUUAUAUUGCACAAUUAUGGCAUGUUAAAGAUAAGAAUUUUUUUUUUUUAAGAAAAGAAAGGGGUGCAACCAAAAAAAAAAAAAAGGUCCUUUGAGGAUCUUCACUGUUUUAGAUACAUCUGAAAUAAAACUACAUGAUACAGUUUAGUCAAUGUAGUGAAGUUGGAUAGCUCCACAUACUCAUGGUAAUAUUAAAUAACUUUUAAAAUAGUGUAUAACAGAUAUUGCACACAUUGUUUUUGUCCUGCAACUAAUCUAGGAAGGAUCUCUCUCAUUUAAAGGUUUUUGUUUUUGGGUUCCAGCUUUGGUAUAUGCUCUCAAAAACCUUAGCUGAGGAGAAAGGGAACGGGAUUCACAGAUAACAGUGAAUCCCUAUCUAUUUUUUUUGUUUGUGCUUAACUUAAUCUCAGAAAGAAAACAAUAACUGUGGAAUAAGUUCUUUUGGACUUCGACUUCCAUUUAUACUAAGGUAAUCAACUUAUUAAAAACAUUUCCUAAUAUGAAUAUAAUUUUUUUUUUUUUGAAUGACUACAUGAUUUAAUAGUACCAUAUCAGGUAUCCUUUGGUAAGCCAAAAAGCCAUCCAUUAAUCUAAUAAUUUUUAUACAAAAAAAAAAAGAGUUAGACCAGUGUGAACUCUGAAGUCAUCUUAUGUACACUACUUGUCUAUCAAUAGGAAUUAGUUCAAAAUAUGAUCAAACAUGCAUUGAGUGUGCCAUGUUAUCAUAAAUGGAUUAAGUAACAUGGUUGACCUGUUCAUUUCAAGAAGUUUCCUUCAUAUCACAUGUAUUUUGGGCCAAUGAACAUAUGUUUCUUAGCCACCUAUGGAAGUAUUAUACUACUGUUAUGCUGUCACAUUUAAGUUGUAUAAUUUAAUGCAGCUCAUGCAUGCAUUAACGAGAAUAUAGUGAGUGAAUCUGUUUUGGUUUUCAAAGAGAUCUCAUUUAUUUAUUUUUUUUUAAAGGAAAGCUGAAUAUUACUGAAAUUGGAGAACAACAAGGUACAUGAAGAGACUACAAUAUUAGAGGCAGUCCAGGUGGAUGAGAUUCUUCACCAUUGGAGGGGAGAAACCUUUCCAAUCCUGGCUGAUCUCAUUACAUCUCGCAAAGUGAGCAAGUUCAUGUGCGACCCUGUUGUAGUCCCUUUUCAAGUGUCUAAUCUUCCAGCUGCUGAAACAACCUGCAAGGCUCAAAAUUCCUUGGGCAAGAUGGCCAAUUUCUUUGCUGUUUUCUUUUGCCACAGUACUCUGAACCACAGGGAGGGAAUCUGUCUCAGUGAUGACUUAUUGAAGCUCUAGUUCCUUUGCUAGCAAAAUCUCAACUUCCACAGCCAUGAUUUUUGUCUCCAUUACAGUAUAGUUGCUUGUGAGUAACUUACAAUGCCUAGCCACUGUUUCACCUUUAGAAUCUCUUAUGAUCACACCUAUGCUUGAUUUCCUUCCAUCAUCUGAAAUUUCUCCAUUGGUAUUUAUCUUGUAAACCCCUUCAGAGGGUCUUUUCCAGCUUAUGUCAUAAGCGGAUGGUUCAUGGAGGAAAUAGUUAGAGGCCUCUUUAUAGUCUUGAAGCAGGUUUGAUGCAAAGUUCCAAUUCUGGGAUGGAGUUUGGCCCUCGGCUUCAUGCACCCUUUGAUUUCGGCUAUACCAAAUUGACCAUGUUAUCACUACCAUAAUUUCCAGAUCCUUGGUUGUCCCUUCAACUAGGAUGUGUAGUGAGACAUCCGAGAAAUCAUGGCUACUAUCAGUGAUUGCAACUGGACAUUCCUUCCAUCUCUCCCACACUUCCUUAGCAAACUUACAUUUAAAAAUAGCGUGGGGUAUGGAUUCCGUCUCUGAUUCGCACAAAGGGCAUGCAGGAUCAGUAUUAAUUCCUCAAAGAGAUCUCAUUUAGAUUUGCAUAUGUUUAAGAAGAGGAAUUGGUAUUAUUGGUUUUGGGGAUUAGGAUAUAUAAUUGUUUUUUUUUUUUAAAGGUGCCUUACAUGAACUUGGGUUUCACCAUGUGCAAAAGACAUUAUUAACUCUGCAUUACAUGCUUAUGACCUGCAUUUUUACCCCUCCUUACGAGACCUGCAUGUUUAUGUGAUUUAGGAUUAGAAGAAUUGGUGUACUGAAGAUUCAAGGUCAGUGUAAGAGCAUUUUUGUUAUCAAAAUUGAUUAUUAUGAGUUUGAAGCAGAAAGAAAUUUACAUACUCCAAAAAUCCUUAUUUUAUAACACCCAUCUUUAUUAACCUGUAUCUUUUCACAUACAUCUGAUGUAUGGUUACAAUUAACCAUUUCCAUGAGUUUUGCUUCCUUCCUUAUCUUACUUGCCAAAUUAGUAGCAAGUGGGAGCAUGCUUUGUUUAUUAUCACAAGGAGGUUAAGGAGAGCUAGUCCUGGUGUAACGACCCCUGUGUAGAUAUUGUCUGCUUUAGGGUUUAUACCCCUCACGAUUUUGUUCUCUCCCAAAGCACAUAGUAGUGGGGGAAAAGACCUUUGCACAUUAAAGGGAUGUCAUUCCUUCUAAGUAUAUCUUCAUGUACUUUCCUAAGCGAUGUAAGAUUCCAUGGAAUGCAAGACCCCAUUUUGGGUCACUACAAUCCACCCCCCCUUACGGGCACAAGCGUCCUCGCGUGUGGGGCCCACACUUCCUACUAGGGCAUGGCUCUGAUACCAUCUGUAACGACCACUGUGUAAAUAUUGUCCGCUUUUGGGCUCAUACCCCUCACGGUUUUGUUCUUUCUCAAAGUACAUAGUAGUGGGGGAAAAGGCCUUUGCACAUUAAAGGGAGGUCAUUCUUUGGGUAUUUAAUGGAUAGAUUUGAGUUUUAUUAACAACUAAAAGGAGUCUCAAUUGUGACUAGUCCUUUUAAGGUAUAGCGUAGAUGUGGCUAGCACUUUUUUUUAGGUCAUUAUAUAUGGUAUCAGAACCAGCCCGGUAAUUUCGUGUGGGCUCAGAGACACCACCCCACAAAGUGGGUCCUAACGAGAACGUUAGGGAUUUAAGUGGCAGAGAUUGUGAUACUCCAAUUUGAUUGAUUGUGUGAUGUGUAUAGGUGUGUGAGACGUCCUACAUCAGGUAUUUAUUGGAUAGAUCUGGCCUUUAUUAACAACUAAAAAGAGUCUUAAUUGUGAUUAGUCAUUUUGAGAUAUAUCACAGAUGUGGCUAGCACUUUUCUUUAGAUUGUUACACUUGAUCUAUUAUUAUUAUUCUACAUCACAAAUUUUUUUUUUCUUUUUUUUCUUUUUUGGAUAAUUAUAAACAUGGGCAAAAUUUGAACUCUCCAUUUAAAACACCCAAUGAUGGAGCGAUUUUAAGACUAAUUUUUAAUAAAUUAUAUAUUUUUCUUUGAAAAAUAUUUUAAAGAGUUUAGUCUCCAAAUUAAUGAAUUGACCCCUAAAUAAAACUAGUCGUUCAAGAAACUUAAAAAAAAAAAAAAAAAUCUCAUAAAAGAGAAAAAAAAUUACAAAUAGAUUAAGCAAAUUUUAUAAAAGCUCCUCUCAAAUUAUUUAAGGAAAAUUGUUACUGGUAAAUAUUUUAGAACUCUGUGUGUGGGGUUAAAGGCCCAAUUUCGUAUGGUGGGCCUUGGGCCUUAUCUGAGCACGUGUUUGUGUCCGAGGAGGCCAAAGUAAUAGGUAAAGACUCCAGGUCUAGAGUAAAAUAAGGAAAGGGCGAAAGAAGGAUAGUCUGAGGAGUAAUUCCUCCUCGGAAAUGACCGAUAUGAACCAGCUUGUUAUUUCAUCAAUUCAGGUGACCUUCCAAUAAAUUUCAAUAAUGAGGAUGAGCCUCAUGCACAAGCAUGAACGAUAAGAACUCAAAAAUAUCUAGAGUAAAAGCUGCUACUACCGCAUUAAACGCACUGCAACUACUCUUCUGACUGCAUUUAUAUGAAGAAGACCCCUGAACAAUGUACCCUCAACUACCACAACUCAUAUUAAGCCAAAAAAAGGAUGUUUGAUGGGAUAGAGACUCAAGUGGAAGGUUAGAUAAUCAACAAGUGUAGAAUCAAGAUGAUGAGAAGGGAGCUAUAUAAUGUAAAAUAUUUCCCAUGAGAGGGGGAUCAGGAAAAAGAAAAAGAAACUAACCACUGUAGCACUGAAGCAGUAUGAACAUUCAGUUCUAUUGAUUAAUAACUUAUCUUGUCUCCUCGGACAACAACUUUGUUCAAUUUCUUAUGUCUUAUUUAUUUAUUCACCUUAUAACUUCAUACUAGCCGUUGUCGAAUUUGCAUAAAGUCUAGUUCUUUCACCAACUUUCUAUAAAUUUAUUGUAUUGGGCUUAUUGGGCCGAUUUCCUAUACCUUUUGGGCAUAGGCUGUAAAAAUUGACCCUACAAUUGGCGCUGUCUGUGGGAAAAGCUGGUGUGUAAGUGAAAAUAACGGUCAGUUAUGGCAGAACCAGGCCCACAACAAGCAGAAUCGAGAGGAUCCCAGCAUGGUAACCCUUUUGUUAUCCUUUUGCAGCAAGGUGAUCGUGAAGGGAAUGUACACAUCACACAUACUUAUAGGAGCCAGCCUCAUGAUGGAGGCCAUAUUUCCCAUGCAAAGAGUAACAAAGGCAUGCAACAGGAGAUCGACCAACUGAAGAGGGACUUACGCCACGCAAGAAGGAGAAAAGCUUCCCCUAACUAUAAUGUCUCCUCUGAAGAUGAAGGGGAUUUGAGUUACAGGCAAAGGUCACGAACUCCGCCUAGUAAGCCUUUCUCCUACGAAAAGGAGCACCACCAUAAGCGACGUCGUGGAAGCCCGCCUCGUAGAUGCGUGGGUAACGAUGCUAUGAGUAGGGCCCUGAACCAGAUUUCUAAGUCGCCUUUCACGCGUUGGAUCGAGAGAGGAAGACUUCCUCAACGAUUUCCACAGCCCACCUUCAUUAUGUACAACGGUAGAACAGACUCUGUGGAGCAUGUCAGCCACUUUAGUCAGAAGAUGGCCAUACACUAUAAGAAUGUGCCCUUGAUGUGUAAGGUUUUUCCGUCUAGUUUAGGGCUUGUGGCGAUGAUGUGGUUUGAUGGCCUGAGGGCAGAUUCCAUUGAUUCUUUCAAAGAGCUUACGCAAGCAUUUGGCUCCUGAUUUGUUACUUGCAGAAGAGUCCCACGACCCUUAGCUUCGUUGCUAUCCUUGUCCAUAGACGAAGAAGAAACCCUGAAAACAUACUCAGACCGAUAUUGGGAAAUGUUCAAUGAAAUUGAAGGUAACUUUGACGACGUGGCCAUAAUCACCUUCAAACUCAGCCUCCCAGCUGAGCACGAUUUAAGGAAGUCCUUGACUAGUAAGCCUAUUACAACCGUGCGUCAGCUCAUGGAUUGGAUUAAUAAGUAUAAAAGGGUAGAGAAAGACCAACAACAGGGAAAGGGAAAAUAGAAUGUUACCCCUCAAAAGCGGAGGGAUUUCAGGUCAGAUAGAUACAACAACCGACCACGGAGAGAUUUUUUAGGACAAUCAGGCUUUGCCAUUACUCAGGCAGUCUACGCAGUUUUCUAAAAGCAGGUGCAGCAGGUUCUGAAGAAAAUCAAACAUGAACCAUACUUCAAAUGGCCGAACAAAAUGGCGGAAAAUCCCGAAAGGUGCAAUCAGAACCUUCACUGCCAUUAUUACUAGAAGUACGGACAUACCACGAAGGACUGCAGAAAUAUGUGGGACCAUUUGGACCAGCUUGUCCAAGAGGGAAAACUGAAGCAUCUCUUGCAUCAUUCCAGUAGCCAGAGUGGUCAAUCUACUUCAGAACCCAGGAGAGAUAACUUCAAUAGGCCUCCUUUGGGAACAAUCAAUGUCAUCUUCAUUGCUCCAGGAAGAACUGGUUCUCAUCCUUUCAGACAAGAGAGCCAGAACAGAAUUUUAGCCGAUCCUGGGUUUCUCAGAUCACGAUAAAGUUGGAACCAUACAGCUCCACGAUGAUGCUCUAGUGAUCAUCCUGAGGAUUGGGGGCUACGAUGUGAAGAGGUAAUGGUGUAUCAAGGCAGUGGCGCCGAGAUCAUGUACCCCGAUUUGUACAAGGGGCUAAAUUUAAGACCCGAGGAUCUAAAAGCCUAUACUUCUCCGUUGGUGAGCUUUGAUGGCAAGGUUGUCAUUCCGAAGGGUCAAAUCAGAUUACCCAUACAAACAGGCUCAGAAAUAGUGGAUGUGGACUUUAUAGUGGUGGAUGCUUAUUCCCCAUAUACAGCUAUAAUGGGCAGGCCUUGGUUGCACACCCUAGGGACUGUCUCUUCUACUCUGUACCAGAAGGUAAAAUUCCCAUCUGGGGAUAGGAUUGAAAAGAUUGUUGGAAGUUAGUCCAUGGCUAGGCAGUGCCUGGUGGCUGUUGUCCGAAAUCAAUUCAAGGAUGAGUCUUCAGCCCAUGCUGAAGGAAGUUCGUAGUAGUUAAGGAUUCCGGCGUCACCUGUUGAUGGGUUAACCGAGGAAGCAAAAUGCGAGGAUCUAAUAAAAGUGGCUAUUGACGAUGACCUUGAGAAAUUCUUUCAAAUUGGGUCUCAAUUGCCCAUUGAAGAGAAGGAAAAGCUAUUAUAGUUCCUAAAAAGGAACGUAGAUGUGUUUGUAUGGAGUGCGUAUGAAGCUCCAGGGGUGGAUCCAAACUUCAUUUGUCACCAUCUGAACGUCAAACCAUCUGUUACUCCUAAGAAGCAACCACCGCGACGCCCGUCCAAAGAGCACGUAGAUGCAAUACGAGAUGAAGUAAUGAAACUUAAGCGUGUGGGGGCUAUUAAGGAGAUUUUCUAUCCUGAGUGGCUGACCAAUACCGUAGUAGUAAAGAAGAAGAAUGGAAAGUGGCGUAUGUGUGUGGACUUCACUGACUUGAAUAAAGCGUGUUCAAAAGAUCCUUUCCCUAUGCCUCGGAUAGAUCAACUGGUAGAUGCCACUGUGGGCCACCCUCGAACGAGCUUCUUGGAUGCCUUCCAAGGCUAUCAUCAGAUAUCGUUAGCUCUGGAUGAUAAAGAGAAAACGGCUUUUGUCACCCCUACUGGGAAUUAUCACUACAAAGUAAUGCCUUUUGAUCUAAAAAAUGCAGGUUCUUCGUACCAAAGGAUGAUGACCAGGAUAUUUGAACCACAGCUGGGAAAAAGUAUUAAAGUCUAUAUAGAUGAUAUGGUGGUGAAGAGUAAGGUGGAGUCCGAGCACGUAGGAGAUCUCAAAAACAUAUUUGUAAUCAUGAGAAAACACAAGUUGCGCCUUAAUGCCUCCAAGUGCUCGUUCAGUGUUGGAUCGGACAAGUUUCUAGGCUACAUGGUGACUCACCAUGGAAUUAAGGUUAACCCUGACUAGAUCAAAGCCAUUAAUAGUCUACAACCCCCUCGGAACCCCAAAGAGGUCCAGAAACCUACUGGAAUGACCGCUGCCCUCAAUAGGUUUAUCUCUCGGUCAGUUGAUAGGUGCAGACCUUUCUUCCUCCUGAUGAAUAAAUGAAAGGGAUUUGAGUAGACUGAGGAAUGCGCCUUGGCUUUUCAACAACUCAAAGAAUAUUUAUCUCGGCCGCCCAUUAUGUCCAGACUAGAAGUGGACGAAGUCCUGUUCACUUAUAUUACUGUGGCUCCUCAUGUAGUAAGUCUCGUGCUAAUCAAAGUUGAUAGUGGCAUACAACGGCCAGUCUAUUAUGUAAGCAAAUCUCUACAAGAAGCAGAGGUUCGUUAUCUACCACUGGAAAAGACCAUCUUAGCAGUAGUGCAUGCCACACGAAAGCUCCCCCAUUAUUUCCAGGUGCACACGGUUAUUAUUCUUACCCAACUUCCGCUCAGGUUCGUAUUACGGAGUGCUUAUUACACAAGAAGGGUUGCUAAGUGGGGUACCAUCCUAGGGGCUUUUGACGUCAAGUACAUGCCUCGCACUUCUAUCAAAGGCCAGGUUCUUGCGGAUCUGGUUGCUGAAUUCGCUGAACCUUCAUUAGAAGAAAUAGCAGAAUUUUUUUUUUUUUUUUUUUUUUUUUUUUUUAAGUAGUCAAUUUUAGCCACAAGAAGAGGGGAAGGGGAGGUCAUUUUUAUUCUAGGAUAAAUAAGUACUAUGAAGAGUACUCCGACCGCAAGGAAAAUGAAUCCAAUGAUGGAGACUAUGAAGUUGAUUUUGAGGGUGAAGUCUCUAAAGAUAAUUCUGAAGAUGAUGUUGAGGGUGAGGAGACUAAAGAUCAAUAUGAUAAAAAAGGAGUCAAUGAUAAUUAUAACCCUAGUGACAUUUAGGUUCACAGUUCUAAAAUUAGAAUGAUGUACUCAAGAGGGAAGUGAAUUUAAAUACAAAUGGUUGAAGGUUGAUAGUUUGGGUGAUCGAGCAUUGUUUGUGGGUGACAGUUCAUCAUUUUCAUUGACUUCAUAGAGCAUCAAUUGGAAUAUAUCUAGUUGUAUCUAUUUUACAUAAGGCAUUUUAUACCUUUGUGAUUGGAGGGUUUGACAUGGGCAGUGCAUAUAAUUGACUCUAUCAAAUAAGCUAGUGAAUGUGUGCAAAAUUGUUUUUCUUAGGAUGUGCUUAUGUAGUUGUGGAGCUAAGAAGUUAUGAUUUAGUUAAGGACCUGCCUCAAUUUCUAAAUCUAUCAUUUUACACUUCUAUUGAAUCCAAAAUUUUGUUUGUAUAUAAUUAUUUUUCAGCCUUGUACAGCAUAAAAAAACUUAUUAAGAUGUCUAAGUGGGCUGAUCUUCCACAUGAUGUCCCCUCUAAAAUAAUGUGUCGAAAAUCUUUCCUUGAUGAUAUAUCAUCAUCAAAAAAAGAUAGCCAUUGUUGGAGCUGUCUGUAAGUCAUGAGUAUCAAGUGUUUAUUCAUUGGAAAACCUUCAUUACCUCAUAGCUGUCCUUGGCUUAUGCUUGGAGAAGAAAAUGAACAAAGCAAUAAAGUCAGUCACGUUGCCUUCACAACUUAUUAGAUACUAAAUUUUAUGUCUUCAACUUUCCUUAGGUUGUUGGAAGUAAAUGCUUUGGAAAUCUUUUAUACGGUUGAUCAGUAUACAAAUUGAUUACAGAUUAAUCUCCUUCGUCGGUUAUCUAAACACCUAAGAAGUCUUUCACCUCAACCUACCUUUUGUCAUCAAUACAAUUACAAACUUGAGCUUGAAGUUGUCUGUGAUAUCUCCGUUCAGGUGGUUGUUCUGUCAAGGAGUUGAUGACAGUCUCCCACCUAAACAUAACUUUUGCUGGCAGUAUGAUUACUCAUGAAUAUGACCAUGAUUGUGUAAUCUUUGCAAUCCGUGGGGAUUUUUAGAAUAUUGUCCUUCACUAGACCAGGACAAGAUAUAAAGUUGAAUUGAUAUUAAAAAUUGUCCUCAAUGUAAUGAUGACAUGUUGUUCUAGAAGGGAAAAUUUAAUGCUGUAAACCAGGAGAUUUUUUUUGUUUUUUUUUUUUUCUCAAAAACAAGGAGGUCAUUGUUAUUCAGUAAGAGAUAGCUUUGUAAAGGACUCUGACCAUGAAGAAAAUGAAUCCAAUGAUGAAGACAUUGAAGAUGAUUUUGAGGAUGAGGAAACUAAAGAUGAAUUUGAUAAAGAAGGCAUCAAGGAUAACUCCUAUGUGACAUUUAGGUUCACAGUUCUAAAAUUAGAACGGUGUACUCCAGAGGGAAGCAAAUUUAAAUACAAGUGGGUGAAGGUUGACAGCUUGAGUGAUCAAGCAUUGUUUGUAGGUGACAAUUCAUUAGUUUUUUUGUCUUUGUAA
rnacentral:sRNA from 1 species